AUUGAACGCUGGCGGCAGGCCUAACACAUGCAAGUCGAGCGGUAGAGAGGUGCUUGCAUCUCUUGAGAGCGGCGGACGGGUGAGUAAUGCCUAGGAAUCUGCCUAGUGGUGGGGGAUAACGUUCGGAAACGGACGCUAAUACCGCAUACGUCCUACGGGAGAAAGCGGGGGAUCUUCGGACCUCGCGCCAUUAGAUGAGCCUAGGUCGGAUUAGCUAGUUGGUGAGGUAAUGGCUCACCAAGGCGACGAUCCGUAACUGGACUGAGAGGAUGAUCAGUCACACUGGAACUGAGACACGGUCCAGACUCCUACGGGAGGCAGCAGUGGGGAAUAUUGGACAAUGGGCGAAAGACCUCGAUCCAGCCAUGCCGCGUGUGUGAAGAAGGU
rnacentral:rRNA from 1 species